rnacentral:rRNA from 1 species
UACAGAGGUCCCAAGCGUUGUUCGGAUUCACUGGGCGUAAAGGGUGCGUAGGCGGUCGGGUAAGUCUGACGUGAAAUCUCCAGGCCUAACCCGGAAACUGCGUUGGAAACUGCCUGGCUAGAGGAAUGGAGGGGAGACUGGAAUACUUGGUGUAGCAGUGAAAUGCGUAGAUAUCAAGUGGAACACCAGUGGCGAAGGCGAGUCUCUGGACAUUUCCUGACGCUGAGGCACGAAAGCGUGGGGAGCAAACAGG